rnacentral:rRNA from 1 species
UGGUAAGGUAAUGGCUUACCAAGGCGACGAUGGGUAGCCGGCCUGAGAGGGUGUACGGCCACACUGGGAGUGAGACACGGCCCAGACUCCUACGGGUGGCAGCAGUAGGGAAUAUUGCGCAAUGGAGGGAACUCUGACGCAGCGACGCCGCGUGAGCGAUGAAGGUCUUCGGAUCGUAAAGCUCUGUCCUUGGGGAAGAAGGGUGUUUUAUAGCAUCUUGACGGUACCCGAGGAGGAAGCCCCGGCUAACUACGUGCCAGCAGCCGCGGUAAUACGUAGGGGGCAAGCGUUGUCCGGAAUUAUUGGGCGUAAAGGGUGCGUAGGCGACCUUUUAAGUCAGGUGUGAAAGCCCACGGCUUAACCGUGGGAUUGCAUUUGAAACUGGAAGGCUUGAGUAUCGGAGAGGGUAGUGGAAUUCCCAGUGUAGCGGUGAAAUGCGUAGAUAUUGGGAGGAACACCAGUGGCGAAGGCGACUACCUGGACGAAAACUGACGCUGAUGCACGAAAGCUAGGGGAGCAAACAGGAUUAGAUACCCUGGUAGUCCUAGCUGUAAACGAUGGGUACUAGGUGUAGGAGGUUUCGAUACCUUCUGUGCCGGAGUUAA